GCCAAUGUAGCUCAGAGGUAGAGCACUUCCUUGGUAAGGAAGAGGUCGCGGGUUCAAGUCCCGCCAUCGGCU
rnacentral:tRNA from 1 species